GAUGAACGCUGGCGGCGUGCCUAAUACAUGCAAGUCGAGCGAAUGGAUUAAGCGCUUGCUCUUAUGAAGUUAGCGGCGGACGGGUGAGUAACACGUAGGUAACUUGCCCAUAAGACUGGGAUAACUCCGGGAAACCGGGGCGAAUACCGGAUAACAUUUUGAACCGCAUGGUGCGAAAUUGAAAGGCAGCUUAGGCUGUCACUGAUGGAUGGACCCGCGUCGCAUUAGCUAGUUGGUGAGGUAACGGCUCACCAAGGCAACGAUGCGUAGCCGACCUGAGAGGGUGAUCGGCCACACUGGGACUGAGACACGGCCCAGACUCCUACGGGAGGCAGCAGUAGGGAAUCUCCCGCAAUGGACGAAAGUCUGACGGAGCAACGCCGCGUGAGUGAUGAAGGCUUUCGGGUCGUAAAACUCUGUUGUUAGGGAAGAACAAGUGCUAGUUGAAUAAGCUGGCACCUUGACGGUACCUAACCAGAAAGCCACGGCUAACUACGUGCCAGCAGCCGCGGUAA
rnacentral:rRNA from 1 species